GAUGAACGCUGGCGGCGUGCUUAACACAUGCAAGUCGAACGGAAAGGCCCAAGCUUGCUUGGGUACUCGAGUGGCGAACGGGUGAGUAACACGUGGGUGAUCUGCCCUGCACUUCGGGAUAAGCCUGGGAAACUGGGUCUAAUACCGGAUAGGACCACUUCUUGGAUGUUGUGGUGGAAAGUUUUUUCGGUGUGUGAUGAGCUCGCGGCCUAUCAGCUUGUUGGUGGGGUAAUGGCCUACCAAGGCGUCGACGGGUAGCCGGCCUGAGAGGGUGUACGGCCACAUUGGGACUGAGAUACGGCCCAGACGCCUACGGGAGGCAGCAGUGGGGAAUAUUGCACAAUGGGCGCAAGCCUGAUGCAGCGACGCCGCGUGGGGGAUGACGGCCUUCGGGCUGUAAACUCCUUUCGCUAGGGACGAAGCGUUUUGUGACGGUACCUGGAGAAGAAGCACCGGCUAACUACGUG
rnacentral:rRNA from 1 species